GCUUGUGAAGAAUAAUGAAGGAAGGAAAGAGAACUAAUGACUAACUUAUAUAUGUGUACAGGGCAUACUUCAGGAGGGCCAAGCACUCCGUUGUAGCACUGUCAGCAACCAGGUGGUCAGUCCUAGCCAAGACGUCCGCUUUCUUUUGUCAACCUUCGUAUGUCCAGGCACUGUAUAAGCCAUUUAUUUUGUCAAGUUGUUAAGAUGUUGACUUGCUUAUGGGUGUCCCUCUAAGGUUGCUGUAUAUACUUUCAUGUUCAUUUUUUUUUGUAUACGCCCAAUCAUGGGGCUGGCAUUGUAAAUGUGUAUGUAUAUGCUCCGGGUUAUAGUUGGAACUUUAUCUAUCCACUAUAAUGCAUGUGAUGAAUGAGAUCCUGGCAUGUAGAAGUAGCUCAAUGGAGUUUAUUUGUUUCAUUA